AUUCUAUUUUCUCCAGGGAGGCAAUGCUUUUCCUAAAAAGUUGAGAAUUUAGACCUGGACUUGGCUGAGCUGUUUUACUGAUUUUUGCAAGAGCAAGAGUAAGGUGACCCAUGCAGGGAAAAUCAUCCUAGACUAAACUUCUAAAACCAUACGUGUUGCCUAUCGGUUAUAACCCAGGUGGGGCAUCUUUUCUGCUGCGACAUGUGUACCCGUCAGCCAACGUGUGAUGAGCUCUCACGUUCAGACCUUGGUCUGUCAGCUGUCACCACUCCCUUAUCUCAUGCUGGAAAGGCACACCAAAAUACAGGUGGUAUUUGUACUUCCAUUAUACAAGUGAGGAAUCAAAGGGAGAAACAGAAACCUCUAAGUUCACUUUGUGAAAUGGGAUUCUCACCUUUGCAACAUGGCUCUGGAGACUUGCUCUUCACAAUGACAGUUGCAAGAGAAAAAAAUUACCCAAUGACACUCGGUAAAGCAUGAGAACUUUCAGAAAGGCACCAUCGGUCUUGAGCUGGAAGCCCGCCUUUUAGGUUUUGAAGAGAGAAGAGGUGGAGGAGGAUGUGUGCUCCAUGAAGACGUGUUCACAGACUCUAACUUGCUAUGGAGUGGCCAGAGGGCUCGACGAAGAUGCCAACUGCCUUCAGAUGUCUCCAGCUCCUAUCACGGCUGUGUGAAGCUAUAGGCUGUGGUAAAGACCAACCAGGGGAGAACAAGCAAAGGCCAUUUAUUCAGAGGCUGCUGUAUCAGGGGAGUCAGCCACCCACACAUGUCUUAUGGAAAGCUGCUUCUGCCCCAACCCUGUUUUAGCUAGUCUUCAGUUUAAUCUGAUAUCCGGUACCACCUCCUACCCCAUUUCUACCCAUCUUAGGUUCAUUGGCUGGGACGCCUGUGACAAAAGACAGAUUAACAAGAGAAAGGUACACAAAUUUAUUUAAUAUGUGUUAUGUGACACAGGAGCCUUCAAAAGGAAAUGAAGUUCUGAAGAAACAGCUAAACCUGAAUGGUUUUUGUCGUAGAUUUGAGAAGAAUGAAGCAUUGUGGGAAAAUAUGACAAAGUAAAGAAAAAGAAUGAGAGAAAUGUAAUAAAUCGGGGAAUCUUAGAAAA
ensembl:lncRNA novel transcript